rnacentral:tRNA from 1 species
AGUAAAAUAAGCUAAUUAAGCUUUUGGGCCCAUACCCCAAAAAUGUUGGUUAACCCCCCUCUUUUACUA